CUCAUCAUUCUGUGACUGGUUGCCCCAAGCGCCAUCAGAAGGGAAAGGAUUCGGGUGGGAAUUGAGCUCGCCUUCAUCAAUGUUAUCAAGAGGACCCACUAGAGAUCAUACGACAGGGACACAGAAGGGAAAAUUUAUUAUCCUGCAUUCAACGUUGUCCGAGAAGACUGCCACAAUCAUCGGCCCUGCUCUCCGCAACGUGGACCACUGUAGCAUCUCGUUCUUUUACACAGUGCAAGGCGAGAGUGAACCACAGCUCUCUUUAAACGUGCGAACUAGUAAGAACGGGCUAUGGAAACGUGUCUGGUCUCAACCACGGCCGACAACUUUCUGGAAUUUUAUGCCCGAAACUGUAGCCUUUACGGAAAAAGAACCA